AAAAUUUAACGGCCGCGGUACCCUGACCGCGCGAAGGUAGCAUAAUCACUCGUUCUUUAAAUAGGGACUUGUAUCAAUGGCAUCACGAGGGUCGCACUGUCUCCUCCCCCUGAUCAGUGAACCUGAUCUCUCCGUGAAGAAGCGGGGAUGAAAAUAUAAGACGAGAAGACCCCAUGGAGCUUUAAACCCAAAGCAAUCUAAUCAAAUAAAUCCUUAUAUAAUUUAAGUAUGCAUAACGGCUUUAGGUUGGGGUGACCGCGGGGCAAAAACAAACCCCCACAACGAAAAGAAAUAAACCUUUAUUUAAGAGUUACUACUCUAAGAAUUAGCACACUAACGAACAAUGACCCGAUAAUCGAUCAAUGGACCAAGUUACCCUGGGGAUAACAGCGCAAUCUACUUCAAGAGCUCAUAUCGCAAGUAGGCUUACGACCUCGAUGUUGGAUCAGGGUAUCCCAGUGGUGCAACCGCUACUAAUGGUUCGUUUGUUCAACGAU
rnacentral:rRNA from 1 species